AUUGUAGUUUGUGAGUUAGACAGGUGUGCAAGCGCUGAGCAAUAGGGCACGACCAGAAGGCCAGCAACGAGCAACUAAAUGUCAUUAAUCGUUUCGUUUGACUAUACAUUAGUGGGAUUCGAAAGCUGUUGCAAUCUGUAUCGAAGGAAUGGAAUCUCUGCAGAGGUUUAUAAUAGACUCUACUAUGAAAAUGUUGUGAACCGUAUAAUUUAAAAAUUUUACAAAUGUUUAUUUGGAAGAUCAUUUAGAGUUUUUUCCGGUUAAUAAAAUCAAAAAUUUACACUUGCACCUGAGUUUCAAAGGUAAAUAAAUAAAUUAAGAGAUCUACAAGUGUGAACCCAUAAAGGACUGAUUGUAUAAGAAACCCUUUUUUUAUUACUUAAAAACAACCCUUUGGAUUUGAGAUUGCCUAAUGAUGUCAGCGAGCUUGAAAAUUUCUGGUGAGCACUGAGAAGACUAUCUACAAAAAUCAGCAACUUGAGUACUCAGAAGUCUAUCUACUAAUUCCGCUAGUUUGUUAUUCUAGGCGCUGCUUACCGCCAUGGUCCACUGUCAUUACUCACAACUGGCCUUUUUCUUUUCACCUUAAAUGGUAUUUUUUGUGUGAUCGGGCAUUGGGAUCGCAGUAGCGGAGGAUGCAGCUUUUAUGUUUUAUGCAGAGGAAAUCCUUUUCAGAACUACACUCCGAUGUUGGCCUUGUAGUGUCUUCUCUUUGCGUUUUCAGUGUGACCAAUACUCAAUACAAAACUUUAAAAUCUUUAAAAGAUAAAUUAUACUUGACAACGACAAAGAGCAUAAAAUAAUAAACAAAAAUUUACCAUC